AUUCAUGAUAAUUUUGUUGCUUUCAACAUCAAGACUACCUAUUUUCUGCAUAAUUAGACCAUGUCCCAGAAACUAAUUCAACUCUAAUACUUGUAGCUGCAUCUUUUCUGAUGCCUACACCCAUGAUGAUCUUCACCAUCAAAACAUACAUUAACACACAUGAAAGAAGAUAAAGUGCAGAAAUGUAAAGGGAGAUAGAUCUUUUUACGUGGUUCGGUCAAUUGUGACCUACAUCCACGGAUUUCACUAUGUUGUGAGGUGUUUACAAGAUCUCCAUUGGAGAGGCUCUCAUGGAUCUCUUGGGAAGAAGAAGACCUAUGGAGGCCAGAUGAGAUAGAGGGGAAUAGCCUUGGCUAUCCGACCAUCCCUACUAACCUAUUUCUCUUUCUGUUUUAUAGGGUAGGUGGUUACAUUAAAUUACAUAUAUGCCCCUAAGGAUGACUAGAUGGGAUAAGACUAAAUGGUUGGGUAUACAUAGUGUAUUUUGUUACAUUUUAGUAGGGUACUUCGACUCCUAAUCUUGCGCCACGUAGCGAGUUGAUAUUUUUCCCUCACAAUACUUCCUAAUUUCUUUAACAUUCAGCAAGCAAGUCUGCAUUAUUAGACCAUGUCGCAGAAACUAAUUCGAAUUCGUGGGUUGAUUUAUCGUGACCUCUUUUGUGUUAAUAGUAGAUGUUGUUAGUUCUUAAUAUGUUUGUUCAUUUAUUUAUGGUUAUAUACUUGGGAUGAGCUAUUUGAAUAUCGUGGACUUUGCCUGUCAGUACUCGCAUUGAGAUGGAUUAUGGUCCUUCCUUCGAUAUAGUAUCAGAACUAGCACUCGACAGUUGUUACUAUUAAUUUUCAAAGGCAGUUGGUGGUUGACACAUCUUGCUUGAUUCUACUCUUAGUACUUCAGGGAAUAGCCUAAAUAAGCCUAUCCCUGUUCUUUGCAGAGGUGACUUUUCUUCCCAUUUUUCUUGAAAGUUUAUGGGUAUUUGAACAUUUUUUACGUGCUAACUUACCCCUUUCUCUUCUAUCAUUGUGAUACAUUUGAAGCAUAAGCAUAUGAAGCUCACUGGUACAUUUUUGUUUAAUAGUUUUAGAACUAUUUGGUCGAUCUACAGAAGAAAAAAUUCCUUCAAAUUUUAUAGGAAAAUAAGCUACAGAUCUAGCAGUUCAACAUUAUUUCUCAGAAAAUGUAAGAGUUACUGAAGAAGACGAAGACAACUAGCCCAGCUUGGCAGUGCAACUGGUGUUUAUAAGACGCUUGUGAAGUACCUAGUUGGAGUGCCACAGGCUCACAGGUGGCAGAAGUAAAGAGUUUACGAUCUUUUGAUGUCUUCCACAUCUCACCAGCAACAAACUUGAAUUCAAACUAGAGUUUUUGGAUAUCUUACUAAUUCAAGUACUUUCAGCAUUUUAUAGAGAUAUUUUCAUCUAUUUCUUGUUUGUUUGUGCUAAUAGUAUAUUGUACGUAUUUAUGGAAUAUUGAGGAACUGGAAGGCUCUUAAAUUGCACUCAAAAUCUAUUUACUUUGUAAUUUCAGACGGGAAAUUUCACUUUA